rnacentral:rRNA from 1 species
GACGAACGCUGGCGGCGUGCUUAACACAUGCAAGUCGAACGGAAAGGCCCCUUUGGGGGUACUCGAGUGGCGAACGGGUGAGUAACACGUGAGUAACCUGCCCUUGACUUCGGGAUAACUUCAGGAAACUGGGGCUAAUACCGGAUAGGAAUCCUUGCUGCAUGGUGGGGGUUGGAAAGCUUCGGCGGUUUUGGCUGGACUCGCGGCUUAUCAGCUUGUUGGUGGGGUAGUGGCUUACCAAGGCUUUGACGGGUAGCCGGCCUGAGAGGGCGACCGGCCACAUUGGGACUGAGGUGCGGCCGAAGCUCCGACGGGAGGCAGCAGUGGGGAAGAUUGCACAAUGGGCGGAAGCCGGAUGCAGCAACGCCGCGGGCGGGAUGACGGCCUUCGGGUUGUAAACCGCUUGCAGCAGGGGCGAAGCUUGUGGUGACGGUACCUGCAGAAGAAGCACCGGCUAACUACGUG